CUUUAUCUCUUCGCAAUGACCAAACUGCCCUUUUCGAUCACCGUCCGCAACUGUUCCAUCGUUCUCACCUACGGCCCUUACCAAUAUUUUCGAGGAGGGCGACGCGCUUCCAGCAACGCCGUUCCAUACGUUCCAUCCCCUGUGGGGCCCGUACCCCGAAUUUUAAGCGCCAUUGGUCGAGAGUGCGAUGUGGGACCGUUUUUGCACGGGCGUUGCUAUCGGCCGUGCUCUCUUUCGGCUGGCAAACCCCGGCCGGGCCGCGCUCCGACGCUGAUCUGCAGCGCCGCCCCUUUUCAGGGCCCUUGCCCUCUCUCCCGUUUCCUGAAACGCCUCCCAAAAGGGUAUAGCAUGGAAAGCACCAAUGAUGGGAGCUCUCAAAAGCAAGCAAAUGUUGAAGACAUUGAGUUGGCUGCUGAAAUUGGCUUGGUUGACGACGACGACGACAGUGAUGAUGAUGAUGAUCAUGAUGAUGAUGAUGAUGAUGAGGAGGAGGAGGAGGAGGAGGAGGCGGCUUCUUUAAUAAGGGGUUCAGCUGCCAUUGAACUAGCUGACCCUAGCACUGACUUGGAAGUGAGUUCUCUGGCAGGGAACCCUGACGAGGUUGGAGGCACAAGGUCAGAGCCUUCCAUUGGUAUGGUGUUCCAAUCAGCAGUGGCAGCAUAUCGACUUUACAACGAGUAUGCUAAGCAUAUGGGUUUUGGGGUGAGGAAGAAAUUGUGCCGCCGUUCUAAGACAAAUAAUGAGAUGAUUGCAGCAUGGUAUGUCUGUACAAAAGAAGGCAAAAGUGCAGCUAAUGAGAAAGCAGAGUGCUCGCAGAGUGCAAGGAGGACCGGUUGUCGUGCAGCGCUGAAAGUGAAGAGAAUGGCUAAUAAGGAAUGGAAGGUAGUUCAUUUUGCCAAGGAACAUAACCAUGAGCUUGAUCUGGAGAAUGUGUGUUUGUUUCGAUCUCAUAUGAAGAAUCGUAUAUCCAACAGGAGUAGGAUCAACAUGGCAGGUGUUGGACACAAAUACGCGAUGGCCGCCCCUGGCAAACAAUCUGGUGGUCAAGAUGGAGAAUGCCAAAACCAUAUGGAUAGAGGGCAGAGAAGGUUCUUUGCACCAGCAGAUGCACAUGCUAUUCACAUGCUGUUCAUUCAUAUGCAUUCAAAAAACCCUGCUUUUUUCUAUGCAGUGGAAUUCGAUGGGGAGCAACACUUGAAAAAUGUAUUAUGGGCUGAUGCCAAGGCUAAGGUGGCAUACACUCAUUUUGGCGAUGUAGUAACCUUUGAUACCACUUAUUUGACUGAUGGGUAUAAGGUGCCAUUUGCUCCUUUUGUAGGAGUUAACCAUCAUGGGCAGUCUAUUUUGCUUGGAUGUGCAUUGGUUGCAGAUCAGAGUACAGCAUCAUUCGUGUGGUUGUUUAAAAGAUGGCUUGAUGCGAUGUCAGGCAGGCCUCCAAAGGCAAUAAUUUCUGACUAUAACAAAGAUAUAGCUGCAGCAAUUUCACAGGUAUUCCCUGAGACUCGUCACCGUUAUUGCCUGUGGCAAAUCCUUAAAAGGGUCCCUGAGAAACUAGGUGAUGUUUGUGAAGCUCGUGAGAACUUUUUGAAAAAACUCAAUAAAUGCAUUUAUGACUCUACAACGGCUGAUGAGUUUGAGAGGAGGUGGUGGAAAUUAAUUCAUCGUUUCGGUCUUGUAAAUGAGGAGUGGCUGCAAAGUUUAUACAAGGAUCGGCAACAAUGGGUCCCAUUGUAUCUAAAGGACACCUUUUUUGCGGGGAUGUCUAUCUCACAACGAAAUGAAAGUGUAAGCACCAUAUUUCAUAAGUUCAUCACCCGUGAAACUGGUUUAAAGGAGCUUUUAGAUAAGUAUGAGGUAGCUUUAGAAAGUAAAUUUGAAGAUGAAGCCCAAGAAGAUUUCUGGUCAUUUCACUCCAAGACCAAGGAGAGAGCACAUCCGUCACCAUUUGAGUUGCAAUUGGCAGAUGUCUACACGAGAAACAUGUUUGAAAAAUUUCAGAUAGAGGUUCUAGGAAUCUCUUCUGUUUUUGCAUCAAAAAGUGAAGAAAAUGGAGACAUAGCUACAUAUGUGGUAAAGGCCUAUGAAGUGCAAGAAAAGAGGAAAACCAGAAGGCUGUUAGAGAAGGAGUACAAAGUUGUGUGGAAUACCAUGGAGAGAAAAGUAUGUUGUGCGUGCCGCUUGUUUGAAUUUAAAGGUUAUCUUUGUCGACAUGCAUUGGCUGUUUUCCUAGCAUUAGGUGUUCUGGAAGUUCCAUCUUUCUAUAUACUGAAACGGUGGACAAAGGAUGCAAAGAGCAGACAUGUUUUGGAUGAAGGCUACACUGUGCAUGGUGACUGCUCAGAAUCUGUUGCACAACGUUUUAAUGAUAUAUGUGUACGGUCUUUUAAAUUUGCAGAGGAAGCAUCAGUAACAAAGAGGAGUUAUGAUGUUGCAUUACUUUCCCUUCGAGAAGCUUUUAGAAGAGUCACACAUGCAAACAACAGUGUCAGAAAAAGUUGUCAACGCAAUUAUCCACAUAAUGGAGGUCAGUCAAACAAAUAACAUUGGAACAAUGUUACCUAUCUGUAACCCUCUAGUCUCUAACAUCGCUAAUGAGCCAAGCGCAAAGUUUCAGCCUAGAGCUGAGAAUGGCACAAGCAAACAGAACAACAAUGUGUCCAGGAGCUAUGAGCAACUUGGUCACAAUCUUGUUAUGUUCAGAGAGGUUGGUCAUAAUCCUUCUCAUGUUGCAUCAUAUACUGGAUUUACAUAUUCGUAUAUUGUGUAAAGUUUGUGCCUUAAAUUAGAGAUCGUACACAUGAUGUAGAUCCAUAUGCCUUUUGAUAACUAACUCUUACCGAUAAGCAUUUUAUGCCAGAGGCAUUUCAGUCAUAAAAUAGCUCUAUUUAAACCUUUUUUCUAAAAACAAUGGUCUUAUUAGUAAUAAGCAUAGAAUUCAUCUUUCCCUUAGGGGCAAGUUAAUCAGCAACAGUUAGUCAAUAUAGCUCAUUAAAGAGUUAACUUAGUCAGCUACAAUUAGUAAAUAUAACUGAUUAAAGAGUUUAAUCAAGUUACCUUUUUUUAAAAAAAAAAGAAAUACAGUGAUUGCUUCCUUCCUGGUUCAAACCUGGAACCUCUCGCCAGUGCAUGCACUGGGAGAAGCUGACCCAAGAUCUUUUGGCAUUAUUUAAGUCACAUGCUCCCAUAGUAACAGCAAUAAACAUUUCACAUAUAUUUGUACAUGUUGACUUUAUGGCAUGUUAUGGGGGUGAAAUUCUCCCAAGCCUAGAUAAAGAGAGUAAUAUUAAGGUUGAUAACUGAGAUGGAUAGACAUGGUGCUCCUGAACUUGAGAGAGAAAAAUCUUUUUUUUUUUUUUUUCUGUUGGGCAGCAAAUGGACUCCUUUGUUAGGCCUCCUAGUUUUAUUUAACAUCAAGGAAGUUUAUUGACAGCUCGGGACUAGGAUAGCUUAGGACACCUGGGACUCCUCUUUUGCUCUUGCAGCGAUCUGGUUGGUUUUCAUCACUUGGGAGUCCCCACCUCCAAGCUUCUUCAAGGCCAAUUUUAACGGCAGUGUGACUGGUGGUGGCAGCAGAGGUGGAGCAGGAUUUGUGAUUCGAGGCAUUAUUUAUGCGAAGUAGGUUUUGAGGGCUGACCUCAUAGCCUUCGAGGGUGAUUCAGCUACGGUGGUCAGGUGGAUUCAGAGUUAAGCGGGGAUGGCCGACGCACAUCCUCUCCUGCACGACAUUCGGAGGAUUUUGAGGGAGUGUGCAUUCCUGUGUGCUAGGCAUGUCUACCGGAAGGCAAACAAGGCUGCGGACUAUGUUGCCAUUUAUGUGGCAGAGCACUUUGGAGGAGUGUUGUGGACCGAUUUGGCUGUUGUUCCUAUUGCUCUUCAUGACGUUUUAAUUUCUGAUUUUGUUGGAUGUAUUCAUACUAGACAUGUAUGAUCUGUCUAUCUUAUCAUUAAAAAAAGAAGUUUAUUGAUAAAACAACUUACAUGAAUUUACUUUUGCAACAACUUAGGUGCCGAAAGGCCUUAGACAUCUACUGAUUUCACAGGUAUGGACUGCCAUCAUCAACUCAUGAUACGUUUAUGUGCAUAUCAUUAAAACAAAUAGAAGGUCUGUUGAGAUGCUAGAAGUUUUGAAAGUAAUCAGCCCAUUUUGACGUAUUUUAAACAAACUGCAUAUGUAUUUUUCUUCUGCAGGAUCUUAUUUCCAAUAAUACCUGAUAUGAGUUCAUAAUGCAUUUGCAUGAUGGUCAGACAUUCAUAUCUGCUGAAAACCUCAGAGUAAACUUAUGGAACCUGGAAAUUAGUAAUCAAUAUUUUAACAUCGAUGACAUGAGGCCUUUGGACAUGGAGGAUCUGGUAGGCGAUUUAUUAACGAGCUUGAAACUUAUAGGAUCACAUGCCAUCUUCUUGUAAUUCUUGUGUGUUUUUAAUGCAACUUUCUGACCUCUAUAUGUUUUAAAUGACUAAAAUGAAGGCUGAAUAACUCUUGGGUUUAAAUUAAAGCUCAUUUUUUAAGAGAAAGUCUGUGAAUUUCCUAUAUUGUUCAUGCACAAGCUAUAUCCUGUUUGAUAGAGGUGGUUGUCAGGGAUGCAAAAGGUCGGGGUGCGGUUGCAGUUUCUCAUAUGCUAAUUGUUCUCCAAGGAACACAUGGUCAGAUCACAUCAUUCAUUUAAUGGGCAGAUGAAAAUCAGUACCACAUGGUUUUCUUGUUGCCUCUAUGGUGUUUUCAAUUACAAAUAGGUGGUGAAAUUAUUGAUAAUAUUUUACCAAUUUGAUUAGUCAGAUUUAUUUGGUGGUAUGAAACUGUGUUUCAUUCCCAUAUUUUCUUCUGUUAUAUUGGACUGCCACUUUAAGUUUGAUUAUAACUGCACAUCUAAACUGAAUAAGCAUGAGUAUUUCUGGCAGAGAUCACCUUUUAAGCUAAGCAUACCUUUGCCCGUAAUUUUGUUAUUGUGAUUUUAACUGGACUUUAUGAUGUUGAAUUUUUAUUAAAUAAAAAAUCAUCACUCAUCAAUAAUUUAGUGCCCUAAUGAGUGAGUUUGUUAAGGUCAUCUUCCUAGAAGCAAUCAUUUGCAAUGCGUUAGGAAAUUUGAGGAGAGAAAUCUGGAUUGACAGUAACAAAAUCUACAGCUUAAUAAUGUCCAGUUAAGACUAUGGAUGAUAGGGUAGCAGGGCUUCAAAUGUCAAAACAUUCUCAUAUUGCCUGUAAGUUGGCUAUUGAAGAAUAAAAGGUAGGUUUUAGUGUGAUAUCUUUUUUGUUUGAUUAUUCUCAUUUCCUGAGAGAAAAAGAAGCCUUGGACUCAUGAAUAUAUUGCUUUUCUGAAGGUAGGUUUUGCAAGGGGCUGAUCCAUUUGCCUAGUCUAGAUGUUACCAUGGAAUGAGAGGAUAUUGGCUCAAGAUUGGGGAUUAGUCUCAGAGCUAGGCACAUGGAAUUUAGAUAACCUCAGCUCAAAAGAGGGUCAUGAUCUUCAUAAAAUCAAUUAAUUGAAAAUUAGAGGCCAGAGAAAGAGAAAUUAAUCAAGUUACCUAAACUAUUAUAAGUGUAGUGGAAUGUUAGUGAUGGAUUGUCUAAAUACAGGAGUAGUUGAACUUAAGGAUCUGCUUGUGCAUCUUUAACUUGCCAAUGCCAAAUGCAAGAUGGAGGUUAUUUGGAGAAAAGUUCUUCACCUUACAUCUCUUAUAUCUUGCAGCAUGGAGGUUAUUUGGAGAAAAGGGGAGAUCGAUAAGAUUUUUUGCAGCAUGGCCCCAGAUGUCUACUUUAAUUUUGUGAACCAAACAGUGCAAGGGAAUCAUGUAGAGUGUAUUUUUCAUCGUCUAAUCUAGGGGUUUGCAUUUUAGGACGAUGGAGAAAGUGGAGCCUUCUUUGUAAGCUUAAAAUACGUAGCUGACUUUUUGUCUUUUAGCUGCAGCUUGUGCAUGAUGAUGAAGGGAUGCAAGUGCAAGAAAUCAUAGCAAUGAUGCGAGAGAACAAGAUAUACGGGCACAGUAAAUAAAAUAAGGAUAUAUUUUGCUUAAAGUAGCAUUUCUUUCCUCCAUCUAGAUUGAUUUUAGUGUGUUCCUGUUGCAUUUACAUCUCACUGUUGGAUGGCCGUGUAAAGUUACUUCUUUACAUCGUCUUUAAUUGUAUGCUCUUCAAACAUACAAUUUUUAAAUCAUGAAAAAAUGUGAACCAGCUGCACUCAUGACAGUGAUUUUUUGCUGGUGCUUUCUACACGAGUAUUUUCUACAAUUAUCAUCAAGUAAAUUUCUUAAAAUCCUCAACCAUUCUUGAACCUGUGGAACUCGUUGUUGUAUAUGCUUUUCUUCUCAGGUGCAUGGAGUAUGAAAUUGCAGACACUACUUUUGCAUAAGGUAUGUCUCAAAGCUAAGGACAAUUUUAGCAUUGUAUAUCCAGGUUGCAGAUUCGGAGAUUAACAGAAAACUGAAACUUCCAAAUAUAAGAACCAAUUAUUGUUGCUUCUCCCUUGAGGUCACUGAGAUUUAACUUUACACUGUUCAUCUUUAGUUUCAAACUUGCAAGCUUUGGCAUUUCAACACUGUAGGCUAAUUUUAGAUGCCCGUUGGCCUCUCUCUUAAACAACAUAUUCAUGCUAAAAGAAACAUGCACUACUUAAUCAAAAACUUCAUAUGAUUAUUUUCUUAUUAAAUAUGCAGUAUUUUGUUGGACAAGCAUGGAGGCUUGGAGAUGAGCUUCAAGAUGUUCAACAGGUCUACAAAAAUCUAAUGGCUGAGCUUGAAGCAGUGGAUGAAGUCAAGGUGGAGAAUUCGUAAAACAGACAGGUCUUUUGGUUUUUUGCCAUAAAAGUUUUGCACCUCCAUUUUAAGAGCUCGGGCUCUGUCAAAUGUUGGCUGUACAUAGUAGCUCAAGUUAAAAAAAUUUGGUGAAGCAUGGUAGUUAGCCCAAAGGGGCAUAUCGUAUAUCACCCUUCAGUUUUUCAUUAGGUCGUCCCAAAGUGUAUACAUUACGUGCAGAUGUAGCUACUUGGUCUUUGAAAUGGGAAAUGAGGUGGUGUAAAGGUGGUAGUCUAGAUCUCUGCGUUGUGCCAUUUUGUCAUCCAUCCUUUUCCAAUGUAUACAGGCUAUGAAAUUGUGGUCAAUGAAAAAUGUUUCUAUUGCAAGCAUGCAUAACA